UGCUGCGGCCACAUCCAUGAGUAUGCUCAGGCUGCAGAAGAGGCUUGCCUCUAGCGUCCUCCGUUGUGGCAAAAAGGUCUGGUUGGACCACAAUGAGACCAAUGAAAUCACCAAUGCCAACUCUCAUCAGCAGAUCCGGAAGCUGAUCAAAGAUAGGCUGAUCAUCCGCAAACCUGUGACUGUCCAUUCCCGGGCUCAAAGCUGGAAAAACACCUUGGCUCGCCAAAAAGGCAGACAUAUGGGCAUAGGGAAGCGGAAAAGGUACAGCCAAUACGCGCAUGCCGGAGAAGGUGACCUGGAUGAGGAGGAGGAGGAGGAGGAGGAAGAUGAGGAGGAGGAGGAUUCUAUGAAGGCUGCUGAGGAGAUACCAUGAAUCUAAGAAGAUUGACCGCCACAUGUAUCACAGCCUGUACCUGAAGGUAAGGGGGAACAUGUUCAAAAACAAGCGCAUUCACAUGGAACACAUCCGCAAGCUGAAGGCAGACAAAGCCUGUAAGAAGCUCCUGGCUGACCAGUCUGAGGCUCGCAGGUCAAAGACCAAGAAAACCCGCAAGCAUCAUGAGGAGCGCCUUCAGGCCAAGAAGGAGGAGAUUAUCAAGACUCUAUCCAAGGUGGAAGAAAUCAAGAAAUGAAGCUCCCUUCUCAAGUCUGUACAUAGUGGCUGGCUUCUUGGUACA